GGUGAGGUACCCAAGAGGCUGAAGGGGACGGUUUGCUAAACCGUUAGGUCGGUUCGCGCCGGCACGAGGGUUCGAAUCCCUCCCUCACCG
rfam:Parcubacteria bacterium GW2011_GWA2_46_10 TX29_C0009, whole genome shotgun sequence.